GGGCGCAUAGCUCAGCGGGAGAGCACUCGCCUUACAAGCGAGGGGUCGCAGGUUCGAACCCUGCUGCGCCCA
rnacentral:tRNA from 1 species